rnacentral:lncRNA from 1 species
CUGGGAGGGGAAGAUGGGGGGCAGGGCGAGGGAGGAGGGAGUAAGAAUUGAAGAGCUGAUAUUUUUGUUCAAGCAGAAACACACACAUAAUUUGAAGAAAUCAUACAAAUAUAAUCACACACAGAUUAGGUAGAGCCAUUACUACAAUCACCUGAAGAAAUAUAUUAUUUCUCUUACUCAUGGGUUUAAUUUCAGUCUCUUAUUUUGAACUAACUGAGCAGCGUGGUGUCAUACAAUGGACAGGGUGGGGGAAACCGAAGCUUGGAAUCUCCAGCCUGCUAGCUCAGGUCUCCUGUUGCAAUGUUGCCCUUAACCUCGCUGGACAUCAACUACACCAGAAGAGCACUGGCUAUGAUCACUGGAGUGGCUUCCACUUCAGCAGGGAUCGGAGUAACACCUAACUGCUUUCAUUCCGUGAAAGUGGCCCUACGACAGAGGUCGUGGAAACACUAUUCUUGGAGCUAUGAAACUUUUUAAAGGAAGGUUCAUUGUUCUACAGAGACACAUCAGGUAUCCAUAUUUCUUUCAAAUAUUUCCCCUCAUAAGUUAUGAUUUGCGAGCUUUUAGUCUUUGGAAUUCUUAGUACCUGCUUUCUUCCUAAACGUGAAGUUGCUAACCUAGACCUUGCUGAAGAUUUUCAUCUUAUUAUGAG